rnacentral:rRNA from 1 species
GCUUGCUUCCUGGUGGCGAGCGGCGGACGGGUGAGUAAUGCAUAGGAAUCUACCCGGUAGUGGGGGAUAACCUGGGGAAACCCAGGCUAAUACCGCAUACGUCCUACGGGAGAAAGCAGGGGCUCUUCGGACCUUGCGCUAUCGGAUGAGCCUAUGUCGGAUUAGCUGGUUGGUGAGGUAAUGGCUCACCAAGGCGACGAUCCGUAGCUGGUCUGAGAGGAUGAUCAGCCACAUCGGGACUGAGACACGGCCCGAACUUCUACGGGAGGCAGCAGUGGGGAAUAUUGGACAAUGGGCGAAAGCCUGAUCCAGCCAUGCCGCGUGUGUGAAGAAGGCCCUCGGGUUGUAAAGCACUUUCAGUGGGGAAGAAAGCCUGCCGGUUAAUACCCGGGAGGAAGGACAUCACCCACAGAAGAAGCACCGGCUAACUCCGUGCCAGCAGCCGCGGUAAUACGGAGGGUGCGAGCGUUAAUCGGAAUUACUGGGCGUAAAGCGCGCGUAGGUGGCUUGAUAAGCCGGUUGUGAAAGCCCCGGGCUCAACCUGGGAACGGCAUCCGGAACUGUCAGGCUAGAGUGCAGGAGAGGAAGGUAGAAUUCCCGGUGUAGCGG